ACCAGUCUCCUCGACUACGUUGGCUCGUUGGGUUAAGGAUCUCCUUUCCGCUGCAGGGAUUGAUACAUCAAUUUUUUCAGUCCAUUAGGUCAGAGGAGCCAUGGCAUCCAAAGCUUCUAAGAUGGGUUGUCGUCUGCAUGAUAUUUUGAAAGUGGUGGAUUGGUCUAGUGAAUCUACGUUCCAUGAUUUCUAUUUCUGCCCGAU